GGGAAGCCCUGACAUGUGAAUCAUCACAUUUCUUGGUGUUUGUUUGAGAAAAGACACCCUUGAAUAUGGCUCUCCGUCAGAUGGUCUGCCUGUUUUGUGCGCUCACUUUACUCUUCAGCAGCAUACAGGGCGGUACGUACAAAUCCAGUUUUGAUCCAAAACCUGAGUCAUGUUGUACUAAAGUAAGUCCUGUGUGCAGUUUGAAUCCAGAAAAAAUCACUCGGUGUAUCAUCUCUUCAAAAUAUGGGAGAUGUAUCCCUGCUGUCCACUUGUUUGGUAGAAAUAAGGCGUGCUGUGUCCCAAAGAGAUCAAAGUGGGUUCUGGGUGUGAGAAGGGAAUUAAGAAAGAAAGGGAAACUAUGUGAGCACGCCACAAUGCCUAUCCCCAACUUCAUGCUCUGAGCCCUUUCAGCUAACGGAUACAGACUUCAGCUUCUUUUGGAGCAAUGUUACUGCUAAAUGAGAGCCAGUGAAGUUGAACUGAUUUGAUAGUAAAAGGAA